rnacentral:lncRNA from 1 species
GCUGAGAGGGCUUCCCCGUCCUCCCGGGAACCCGGCGCCCCUGCCAGCGCGCACCUGAGCAGCUCCAUGGGACAUGGCCGCCCAGGCCGCCUUGCUGGGGCUCAUCUAGGAGUGGCGUUCCUCAUGUCGCCCUGAAGGCCAGCUCUGGACCUCCCCAGGAAAGUGCCACCUUGCAGAGCUGCUCCUCCGGAGCCCCGACCCUUGGGACACCCUCCAGCCGGCGGCCCCCAGUGGAGUGGGGGCUCCAGGAGGCCAGGCCUGGCUUGCUGACCUUGGACAGCAGCUGCAGGACGGGCCAGAGGGGGAGGCUGCCACCCAGACCCCUCUGGGCCCAGGCCCCAUGCCCCAAGGAGGGGCGGCCUGAAAGCUCCUGCAGCCCGUGCGGGCCUGUCCACCUGCCCUUCUGACUGUGGCU